rnacentral:rRNA from 1 species
UACGUAGGGGGCAAGCGUUGUCCGGAUUUAUUGGGCGUAAAGGGCUCGUAGGCGGCCAACUAAGUCAUACGUGAAAUCCCUCGGCUUAACCGGGGAACUGCGUCUGAUACUGGAUGGCUUGAGUUCGGGAGAGGGAUGCGGAAUUCCAGGUGUAGCGGUGAAAUGCGUAGAUAUCUGGAGGAACACCGGUGGCGAAGGCGGCAUCCUGGACCGAUACUGACGCUGAGGAGCGAAAGCGUGGGGAGCGAACAGG